CCCUUAGAUGUUCUGGGCUGCACACGUGCUACACUGGCAGGUUCAGCGAGCUUCAUGCCCUGAUCUGAAAGGAAUGGGAAAUCUUUUCAAAACCUGCCGUGCUUGGGAUAGAUGUUUGCAAUUAUUCAUCUUCAACGAGGAUUGCCUUGUAAGCGCACGUCAUCAGCGUGCAUUGAAUACGACCCUGUAUUCUGUACACACCGCCCGUCGCUCCUACCGAUUGAAGUUUUCGGUGAGUUGACAGGAGGAUUUUUUUGAAACUGGUUCGCCAGUGGAUUUUAGAUCCAAAUGCCAACGAAUCGAUGGCUCUAGAGGAAGGAGAAGUCGUAACA
rnacentral:rRNA from 1 species